rnacentral:rRNA from 1 species
UACGUAGGGUGCAAGCGUUGUCCGGAAUUAUUGGGCGUAAAGAGCUCGUAGGCGGUCUGUCGCGUCGGCUGUGAAAACUCGGGGCUCAACCCCGAGCCUGCAGUCGAUACGGGCAGACUAGAGUGCGGUAGGGGAGAUUGGAAUUCCUGGUGUAGCGGUGGAAUGCGCAGAUAUCAGGAGGAACACCGGUGGCGAAGGCGGGUCUCUGGGCCGAUACUGACACUGAGGAGCGAAAGCGUGGGGAGCGAACAGG